rnacentral:rRNA from 1 species
UCAAGCUACUAAGGGCGCAUGGUGGAUGCCUUGGCAGAAGACGGCGAAGAAAGACGUGGCAAGCUGCGAUAAGCUUCGGGGAGCCGCAAGCAGGCAUUGAUCCGGAGAUCUCUGAAUGGGGAAACCCAUAGGGGCAAAACCCCUAUACGGCCUGACGAAUCCAUAGUCGGGUGCGAGCGAACCCAGGGAAGUGAACCAUCUCAGUACCUGGAGGAAAAGAAAGAAACCUCGAUUGCGAUAGUAGUGGCGAGCGAAAUCGCAACAGCCUAAACCUGCUUCACCUUCGGGUGACACAGGGGUUGUAGGGCCAGCAACAGUAGAGUUACCAAUCCGGUGGUUAGUCGAAGCCCUCUGGAAAGAGGGGCCAUAGAGUGUGAUAGCCACGUAGACGAAAAUCAUCCGGACUCGAAGCUGGUACCUGAGUAUCGCGGGGCACGAGAAACCCUGCGAGAAGCUACGGGGACCAUCCCGUAAGGCUAAAUACGUGUCUCUGACCGAUAGUGAACCAGUACCGUGAGGGAAAGGUGAAAAGAACCCCUUCGAGGGGAGUGAAAUAGUACCUGAAACCGUGUGCCUACAAACGGUGGGAGGACUAUGCGGCGCAAGCCGAAAGUCUGACCGCGUGCCUAUUGCAUAAUGAGCCGGCUAGUUAUUCUUGUCAGCAAGGUUAAGCGAAAGCGAGCCGUAGCGAAAGCGAGUCCGAAUAGGGCGAAUCAGUUGGCAGGAAUAGACGCGAAGCGGGAUGAUCUACCCUUGGCCAGGAUGAAGUUAGGGUAAAACCUAAUGGAGGUCCGAACGGCUGUUUGUUGAAAAAAGCUCCGAUGAGCUGAGGGUAGGGGUGAAAGGCUAAUCAAAUUCCGUGAUAGCUCGUUCUCUCCGAAAUAGCUUUAGGGCUAGCCUCUCGUGGUCCGUCGCGGUGGUAGAGAACUGAUUGGACUAGGGGCCUUCCCAGGUUACCGAAUCCAACCAAACUGCGAAUGCCGUGAAUGUGUAGCGAGGGAGUCAGACAGUGGGGGCUAAGCUUCAUUGUCGAAAGGGAAACAGCCCAGACCGUCAACUAAGGUCCCCAAAUCCAUGCUCAGUGGGAAAGGAAGUCGGGACGCUCAGACAGCCAGGAGGUUGGCUUAGAAGCAGCCAUCCUUUAAAGAAAGCGUAAUAGCUCACUGGUCGAGCGGCCCGGUGCCGACAAUAUAACGGGGCUUAAGCAUGGUACCGAAGUUACGGAUUCGUCUAGCUUGCUAGGCGAAUGGUAGGAGAGCGUUCUCAACAGCUGUGAAGGUCGAGCGAAAGCACGGCUGGAGCGUUGGGAAGUGACUCUGCCAGCAUAAGUAGCGAGAAACCAGGUGCGAACCCUGGUCGCCGUAAGUCUAAGGAUUCCUGAGAAAGGUUAAUCCGCUCAGGGUUAGUCGGAGCCUAACGCGAGGCCGAAAGGCGUAGCGGAUGGACAGCAGGUUAAUAUUCCUGCACUACCUUGUUUCGAUCAAGACCGAUGGGGGGACGCAGACUCAAGCUCGGCCGGGGUAAUGGUUUCUCCGGUUGGGGGAGAGGAGAUCCGGAUAGGCAAAUCCGCCGGGUCGUCUGCCAGGAAAAGCCCCUAAGGAGAAGUAAGGUAUCCGUACCACAAACCGACACAGGUGGACGUGAAGAAUAUUCUAAGGCGCUCGGGUGAUGGUAGGUUCAGGAACUAGGCACAUUAGCUCCGUAACUUCGGGAGAAGGAGUGCUCUUGGCAACAAGAGCCGCAGUGAAUCGUCUCAGGCGACUGUUUAACAAAAACACAGGUCUCUGCAAAGUCGAAAACGACGUAUAGGGGCUGACGCCUGCCCGGUGCCGGAAGGUUAAAGGGAGAGGUUAGCCGCAAGGCGAAGCUUUGAACUGAAGCCCCGGUGAACGGCGGCCGUAACUAUAACGGUCCUAAGGUAGCGAAAUUCCUUGUCGGGUAAGUUCCGACCUGCACGAAUGGCGUAACGAUCUGAGAACUGUCUUAACCUGCCGCCCGGCGAACUUGUGGUCCCGGUGAAGACGCCGGGUGCCCGCCACUAGACGGAAAGACCCCGUGCACCUUUACUAUACCCUUUCAUGGAACUAUGGGGCCAUCUGCGCAGGAUAGGUGGGAGGCUUUGAAGCCGGAUUCUCGGAUUCGGCUGAGCCAACGGUGAGAUACCACCCUGAUGGUUCUGUGGUUCUAACCUACUCGACUGAAUCGUCGAGAGGGACAGUGGAAGGCGGGUAGUUUGACUGGGGCGGUCGCCUCCUAAAUUGUAACGGAGGCGCGCGAAGCUUGGUUCAGGCGGCUUGGAAAUCCGCCGACGAGUGCAAAAGCAUAAACCAGGUUAACUGCGAGACCAACAAGUCGAGCAGGUACGAAAGUAGGCUUUAGUGAUCCGGUGGUUCUGUAUGGAAGGGCCAUCGCUCAACGGAUAAAAGGUACGCCGGGGAUAACAGGCUGAUCGGAGUCAAGAGUUCACAUCGACGCUCCGGUUUGGCACCUCGAUGUCGGCUCAUCGCAUCCUGGGGGUGUAGAAGCUCCCAAGGGUUAGGCUGUUCGCCUAUUAAAGCGGUACGUGAGCUGGGUUCAGAACGUCGCGAGACAGUUCGGUCCCUAUCUGUGGUGGGCGUAGGAGAUUUGAGGGGGCCUGCCCUUAGUACGAGAGGACCGGGGUGGACGAACCUCUUGUGAUCCAGUUGUCCCGCCAGGGGCAUCGCUGGGUAGCGAAGUUCGGUCAGGAUAAACGCUGAAGGCAUAUAAGCGUGAAACCUUCCCCAAGAUGAGAUCUCCCAAGCGUAAGCUUUGAAGGGCACAGGUAGACUACCUGUUUGAUAGGACGGAUGUGUAAGCUGGGUGACCAGUUGAGCUUACCGUUACUAAUCGCCCGUUCGGCUUGACCAU